UGGGGAAUAUUGCACAAUGGGCGCAAGCCUGAUGCAGCCAUGCCGCGUGUGUGAAGAAGGCCUUCGGGUUGUAAAGCACUUUCAGCGAGGAGGAAGGUGGUGAACUUAAUACGUUCAUCAAUUGACGUUACUCGCAGAAGAAGCACCGGCUAACUCCGUGCCAGCAGCCGCGGUAAUACGGAGGGUGCAAGCGUUAAUCGGAAUUACUGGGCGUAAAGCGCACGCAGGCGGUUUGUUAAGUCAGAUGUGAAAUCCCCGGGCUCAACCUGGGAACUGCAUUUGAAACUGGCAAGCUAGAGUCUCGUAGAGGGGGGUAGAAAUUCCAGGUGUAGCGGUGAAAUGCGUAGAGAUCUGGAGGAAUACCGGUGGCGAAGGCGGCCCCCUGGACGAAGACUGACGCUCAGGUGCGAAAAGCGUGGGGAGCAAAACAGGAUUAGAUACCCUGGUAGUCCACGCUGUAAAACGAUGUCGAUUUGGAGGUUGUGCCCUUGAGGCGUGGCUUCCGGAGCUAACGCGUUAAAUCGACCGCCUGGGGAGUACGGCCGC
rnacentral:rRNA from 1 species